UUGAAUUUUAAAAUGAGAUAUUUUAGAGUUUUAGUAAAUGUGCCCCUUAGUAGUAGUGGUGCGAUUUUGCACCUAUGUUGGUGAUUCAGUUCUACAGAAUGAUAACGGAGUUCUUCUGAAGUGCUAUAGGUAACAUUGCCAUAGGCAUAACCUUUACAUCCCAUGGCAGUGAAGACAUAAAGUGCUAUAACAUGAAUGUUGCAUUCAGAUACUGUUUCUAACUCUUACAAACUAUGUGUUAACAUUCCUGCCAGUUGACCUCAGUUAUGUUUGGCUCUGCCUUUUGCCAAGAAGAUUACAUCAUAAUAAAAUAUACAAACUUUACUGAGGCCAUUAAAAUAAUGUAGGAGUAGUUUAUACAACAUGGAUAGAAAUACCUGCUAGCUGGUUAGAUAAGAAAAAUUGCCAAGAGAAAGAAAGGCAGCUCUUUAAGGGUUUUCUUGGUCAACAGGUUUGCUUUUUAUUUUAAAGAGUUUCUGGUUUCCUUGACAAGAUUUUUUUUUUCACGUUCUAAUAAUGGUAAGAAAAUCCUUUAAUAUUUUUAUAGGUUAGUUUUCUCCUAGAAUGUCUAGACUGGGGGGUUAAUUUAUUUAAAUUCCAACUAGGGAAUCCUGGAGGAUUAUUAAUACUUGCCUAUCAGGAAAGUUUCAUACACUUUUAAAUCAGAUCAUUGUAGUUUGAUUAAAUUGCUUUAAGCAGUCAAUUUCAUUUAAUUCCCAUGGCUGAUGUUGAAUUGCAGACCUUUGUGCCCUUAUGUACAGUUGCUCCUGGUACACAUCCAGUGAAGGCACAACUUAGUUAGCCAAUUAGAAUGAUUAUUUGAAAUGUGCAUAGGAACAAGAUGCACUUAAUUUCUGUAAUGCAAUGUACCUUAGCUGUUAAACUGUAAAUAGAGUAACCCUGCAUUGGCCUUGAAAGUGACUAAAUAAAAAUAAAAUCAAGGCCAUUGGAAUGCUCUCUGUGAUGGACAAAUUCUGUAAUCACUUAAACAGUUUUCUUGCCAUGUUUGUCAGACUGGCCUUUUGGAGAUAAUCUUUGCCAUUUUUAAGACCCAAAGAGAUAAUGAUUAGUUUACAUUUCUCCCUCUGUCUCUAAGUGAGGAAAAACACAAAAGGCAAUAAAUACUCUGGCCCAAAACCAUUAAAGUGAAAAGCUGGGAUUUCUCCCGGUCUUGAGCUGAAGCUGUUUGUUUAUCAGCUGGCGCCUAGUCUGGAACUGAGAGCUAGAGAUUUCUAUCUGCUUCAGAACUUUUGAGAAUUUCGCAAGGCACUUUCAUUUUAACUUUAAGGUAACUUGAGUUUAUAGCUUUGGCUUUAAAGAUUACUAAUGAUUUACUCAUUUCCUUGCUAUUUAACCAAAGUGGACUUUUUUCCCAGGAAGGGAUCUGUGUUUAUUUAGGGCUUUUGUCUGCGGAGGGAUUAAAAGGCGGCCCACCUACAUCGUGAACUUGAUGUGUAAAUAUUAUGCAGCUUCUCUGUGUAAAUGAAACCAGUAUUAUGAUGAUCUGCUUUGAACUACAACAGCACUUUAGCAGAGGCAGGACAUUUUUAUUACACAAUUAAAAAUGAUGAUCUUUGGCUUCUGACUGCUAAUUCAUAUUGUGCUUUCAUACGAAAAAACUAUAAAUGUUUUCUAAUUUUUCCCUAACAAUGACAGCAGAUUUUCAUCAGUGUUCAAUAUUUAAUAUGCUCACAUCAGUCUAUACUACAGGUAAAUGUAAUCAUUGAACCUUCAAAACUGAAAAUAAAGAUUUUCAUAUGGUUUUAAAACAAUAGCUUGAACCUGGUAAGCAUGAAUUUACACAAGAAACUGGUGGCAAAUGUGGCAUGCUGUGAGUUAAUCACAAGCAAAGCAAAAGUGUUUUUUUUUGGACAUUAACAACUAUUGGGGUUUAUGUUUUCUACCUUAUUAGCCAUUGUCUUUUCUGUGAACUUGUAAAUUAAAUCCGCUUUUUCUGUGAGGGUUUGGUUUUAUUCUGCUUUUGUACUUUUCUAUUUUUUAUUUUUCUUUAUUUUUUUCUACAUGUUUUCAGUUUGCCAUCAAUUUAUUGCAAAUUACAUGUUUAUCCAACAAAUAAAACUUUUAUAGUUUUGCUUUUCAGUAAUUUGUUGAAAAGCCUCUAACAUGCACAAAUGUACACAAUACAAAGUAAUUUGCUUGUUCAUUA